GACAGUCAAAGCUGCCUGUGCGGGGAUGACGGCUGCGUGUGAGAGUCGAGAGAAGUGGGUGGGGACGGCUAAAUAAAUGAUGAGGAUGUGUGGAUGUGGAGGACUCACGAGAUGUGCAGUGUGGCGUACCUCCUCUCUUCCCUCGGGGUCGACGCUGCUCGCUUGUAUCAAGGCUGCAAUGGGCUGGCUGCGAACCCUGCUCCUUUUAGCCCACAUCGCCGCAACGCUUUGGAUACGUUACGUUUUCAUGGCCUCUAAUCGUGAUGGAAAACACAUCAGGAAGGAAAUGAUGCUGACUGAGAAAAGAACAGAAUUGCACUAGAUAUGUUGUUGGCGGAGAGAGGAGAUGUGUGUGCCAUGUUUGGAGAAUUGUGCUGUACACACCGCUGCAGGUGGCUGCCUGACCAGGGCCAUUGAUGGCCUGCGCACCCUCAACCGCAAGACGAAAGAGCAUUCUGGUGUGGACAUCCAUGUGAAUGAAAGUGUUUGGCAAGUAUAAGACGUUGGUCUCAUCAAUUUUAAUAUCAAUAGCAGUAUUUGCUGCAAUACUGACAUUGUGUGGAUGUUGCUGUAUUCCAUGUUUACGAGCUCUUCUGAAUAGAUUAAUCACCACCGCAAUCCAACCUAUGAGCAAUCGGGCAGAACAAAUGUACCCCCUUCUAACGAAGCACAACCAGGAUAGUUCUGAUGACGAUGAUGAUAAAGAAAUGGAGAUCGGGACAUUGUUUGAUUCAGCUGAGGAGAUCAAAUAAAGCAUUUCAUGUCUUGUGUUCAUGAUAAUGAUCUUACAGCCAAAAAUCAGAAGAAGCGGCUGCUAAAUAAGUGAUGUGAAACAAGCAAAAACAUGAUGGAAAAAUGUAAAUAAGUUAUCAUGUGUUGUGCUUUUCUGCUUACUUCUAGUUAGAGAAAUGUUUUAUCACUGCGUGCAAAGUUUUCUCCCACAGGAUGAGUCAUGUGCUUGCAGGUGCAAGGACAAAUUUGAGCUGGAGUCUUCCUGUGUCUUGAUAAGAAGUAUAUAAUUCUUCUACUGUCUCAACCACAACAAAGAGUGUUAUGUGCUGAUCAACAAGCAUGUAUGCCCCCACCUUUUUGACGUUGUAACUCAUAUGUAACAAGGGAACUGCCCUAAAGUAAUAAAAAGAGAGAAUCCGGCAGAGUGAACUGAGAAAAUGGUUGGAGACUGUAACUAAGUACACUCUUGGCCGUUUUCUCCUUGCAAGUCUGAAAACUGAACUACCUCUGUGUCUGUCUUGAUUUUUUACAAGUGUUUUAGGUGUCUUGAACCUGACAUUUACUUGGUCCUUCGAGCCGGAUACCAACAUACCCGACGAAUGCAGCGGGCGGGUGGAUUGCAGUAUAAAGAAGAAGUGGGGAAAAAUGCAAAGGCAGAACCGAAAAGACUAGCCGAGUCAUCAACAAGCUUCAAUAAUUUCUGUAUGUUUCCUCUCACGCUUUUGUGAAAAAGACACCUUCAAAUCAUAUAUUACGGUGAACUUCUAUCCCCGUCCAGCCAAUGUUUACAUUCGUAUACUGUACCUCCAAAAUGCUAUUAUUGUUGCAGCAAUAAUCAUGCAAGGCUCACAAUAAUAAAACCGCCCAUUGAUAAAUUGUCUGUUCACUAAUUUUACAGUAUUUACUGUCAUAUUUUUUUAAAAUUGAUCAUCUUAAAAAUUGGAUACUUGAUUUCUUUGCUCGAGUCCAAAAAUUCAAGUGCAGUCAAAAAUGCAGGAACACUCUUGAAGACAUGGGAAUCCUUAGCUUCUAUUCUUCUGCUUAGUGAUAUUGUAGGAUGGUUUAUUUUUCUCAGUAACCUCUGUAAUGUUCCAAUUUGAAAUGUGGACAUUUCAUUUGAAGAGAGGGAAGUAUGUCAGAUGAUUUAUUUUUGCUUUGAUGUCUGUAUUUGUAUGAAGUGGACCCAUUUUAUUAUUAUUUUUUUUUGACGAAUGGAAUGUAUUGGUGAGAGAUAUGUUGUAACGGGGAGUCGGAAUUAUUCUCUCUCCAUGGGAUUUUCUUUUGACUUGAGAUAAACACUCACCAGUACACCAAUUAAAAGUGCUACUGUUACAAUAUGCUUAAAUAAUUUGGCGGAUGUUCUCUUCGAAGGGGAGCGGCGGCCCGUGAAGGGCCGGCUCAUGUGGCUUCCCGGUAGUAGACAGUGCCAGCUGGGAUGCGACUUCACGAAGCGUUGCUCCACACGCAGCUGAUCCGAGCCCGUGGGUCAGCGUUUACUGGGACAGAGGCCGGCCUGAAAAGCAAGGCACAUCUCAGCCAAUCGAUUGCGACGCAACGCUCAGAACAGCAUAGCGGCCACGCCUUGGGAGGGUCUCAGGGAACCAUCAGUUGUUGUCAAUCAGUGUAUUUUUUGAUAAUCCAACAUUUUUAAUGAUCCAAAACAAACUGCCAAGGGAACUCUCAAUUGGUUUCAUCCAUCCAUCCAUCCAUUUUCUGAGCCGCUUCUCCUCACUAGGGUCGCGGGCGUGCUGGAGCCUAUCCCAGCUGUCA